rnacentral:rRNA from 1 species
AACGUAGGUGGCGAGCGUUAUCCGGAUUUACUGGGCGUAAAGCGUGUGCAGGCGGGGAGACAAGUGGUGUAUGAAAUUUCCCGGCUUAACCGGGAAGGGUUAUGCCAGACUGUCUUUCUGGAGUGCGAGAGAGGGGCGUGGAAUUCCGCGUGUAGCAGUGAAAUGCGUAGAGAUGCGGAGGAACACCGAUGGCGAAGGCAGCCCCCUGGGCUGACACUGACGCUCAGGCACGAAAGCGUGGGGAGCAAACAGG